GACGAACGCUGGCGGCGUGCUUAACACAUGCAAGUCGAACGGAAAGGCCCUGCUUUUGUGGGGUGCUCGAGUGGCGAACGGGUGAGUAACACGUGAGUAACCUGCCCUUGACUUUGGGAUAACUUCAGGAAACUGGGGCUCAUACCGGAUAGGAGCUCCUGCUGCAUGGUGGGGGUUGGAAAGUUUCGGCGGUUGGGGAUGGACUCGCGGCUUAUCAGCUUGUUGGUGGGGUAGUGGCUUACCAAGGCUUUGACGGGUAGCCGGCCUGAGAGGGUGACCGGCCACAAUGGGACUGAGAUACGGCCCAGACGCCCACGGGAGGCAGCAGUGGGGAAUAUUGCACAAUGGGCGGAAGCCUGAUGCAGCAACGCCGCGUGCGGGAUGACGGCCUUCGGGUUGUAAACCGCUUUCGCCUGUGACGAAGCGUGAGUGACGGUAAUGGGUAAAGAAGCACCGGCUAACUACGUG
rnacentral:rRNA from 1 species